ensembl:lncRNA
GAGAAAGCCGCCUUCGGCAAACCUCGGCUUGCUCCCGCCCUCUUCUUCCUCUGAGGCCUGGGCUCCUAGCGCCGCGACCCGUCAAGCCCUUCCGGUUGCUGCUUUUCCUCGCUCUCGAAUCCGGCCACUCCCGUUCCACUUUAGGGGUAGUCGUGCUCGGGAGCCUGCGUGAGGCGGGCCCUGGGGCCUCCUGGCUGCGCGGGGUGGGAGCCGCCUUCGGGAGGAGAACCGUGGGGCGCGAGGGACGCCAUCUCGGACUAAAUGCGGAGCGGCGGCAGCUGCGCGUGCGCCCAGAGGCGCAACGGCGGCGGGGGCGGGGUGCCCUCCGCGAGGCGGCCGCGGCCCCCGCCCCUCGGGCUCCUUGCGGGGGUCGGAAAGCCCCUAAUUGGGCGGCCCGGACGGUUUUCGCGGAGCCUCGACGGGCCGCGGCGGAAGUCGCCCUCAGUCGGCCGUGAGAACCCAGAGUCGCGGCCGGUGCUGUCACCGACUAGCGCGGAGCACACGCCUGUGGCUCAGGCCUGGGCACUGCAGACAUGAGUCAGUCAGACCUCCACCUCUGUGAAUCACCCAUGCAGAUUGCCUCAGGAUGCUGCUGCUUCAGAGGGAGUCGGACAAUAGCUCUUUGACGGCUCCAGAGAAGCAACCCACAGAUGCUCCAAUCUACUCUCACAGACACUGAUACUUCUACUGGACCUGAUCCUUCCUUCCCACAGAUAGUUCCACAGACAUUGAACAACAAGAAAAGCCAACUCUCCUAAUACUGGAACAACAUCCCCAUAACCAAUUUUCUUACAUUAUGUUUCUUACGUUGCCCCAAAGUAAGCAGGAAACAGCUA